GCUGAACUGCAAGAUCUUAAAGCCCAACUUUGAUCCAGGUGAUUCUCAUAGGCAGCUGGUGAAAUUAGAUCAAAAGUAUGAACUGUGGGCCGAAACCGGUUUGGCUCAGUGGAUAGAGCAUCAGCCUGCGGACUGAAAGAAUCCUGCCUGAUGGAUACACAGAGCAAACUGGUUCCUCAUUUAAGAAGAUUAGUAGCCAAACCCCAGAAUCAGGUCAGAAGAAUGGGCCUCCUGCCACCAUUCAGGGUGCAUCCUGCAAACAAAUCACUUGAAGGUUUUGCUUGACACCUAUUAAGGCCAUUAUUGAAGGCCUCAGCCUAAGCCUCAGAGAGAAUGGAGCUGGAAACGUGAGGAAACAUCAAUCAAGACAAAGAAGAGAAGCCCUAGCCAGUUUGGCUCAGUGAACAGAGCGUUGGCCAGCAGACUGAAGGGUCCCAGUUUUGAUUCCGGCCAAUUGCAUGAACCUCAGUUGCCUGUCCCUGGUCAGGGCGCAUGCGGGAGGCAACCAAUCGAUAUGUCUUUCUCACAUUGAUGUUUCUCUCUGUCUCUCCCCGUCCCUUCCACGCUCUCUGAAAAUCAAUGGGAAAAUAUCCUCAGGUGAGGAUUAACAAAGCAAGCAAACAAAAGACACAGAAGAGCCAUGUCGCUGCUGCUCUCCCAAGGUACCUCACUGAGGACAAGUGUCAUCUUUCAUUGUUAUUUUAUUUAUAAAUAGAUUUAGUAUAUUUAUUAGGAAAGGUCUUGAUGGUAAAGAAUAUUUGUCUACAUUUAGUUCCUUUUAAUAUAUUUUUUUGUUCAUAUAAACCACAUGUAUAGAAAAGCACCUUCACAAGGCCCUGUGAAGCCUAGCUCUGUCCGGGAUCACCCACAUGGGUGUCUUCCUGCAGUGGGACACGCACCACUGCUCUUUUCCCUCCAGUUGUCAAGAAAUUCCCUUUGAGGUGGUUCCAGAGAAGGAGCAGAGGAACCAAUGUGUGUGGGGAGGAGAAGAAAUCAAAGAGAAUAUGUGAGCUUGGAGUGCUGGAGAUGAAAAGGGAUCAUGGCUCAAGAUUAUAAAAAGGAAGGGACCCACAUAAGGGAUUCAAUUACAAGAUUCACAAGGAAAUCAUCUGCAGUCAAAAGAAUCUGCUGGCGUCCCCAGCACACGUGGUUCAGCCGGUGAAAAUGGGCAUCUGUCCAAAUGACAGGCAGAGGCACAAAUGCCGCUCCCCCACUUCACAGAAGUGUUGCGACUCUGGACAAGACACUUCAUCUCUCCAAAUUUCAAUGCCCUGAACCAUACAAUCUGGAUCACAGCUUUUACUGUGCUCACCUGUUGUGCUGCUGUAAACAUUAGAAGAUGUAACGGAUUUUUGACAUGAGCUCCGACCUAGCCAAUAUAAUGGGGCACCAUUUCUCUUCACUAAUACUAGCAGGGAAUAUUUUAGCAGCCGAUCGCCACAUCUUUAGUCUUGGACUGACUUGUUUGGUAUGCGCAACAGGAAAUACUUUGCUUUUG